rnacentral:rRNA from 1 species
UACGAAGGGGGCUAGCGUUGUUCGGAAUUACUGGGCGUAAAGGGCGCGUAGGCGGUACUUCAAGUCAGGCGUGAAAGCCCCCGGCUCAACUGGGGAGGGUCACGCGAUACUGAUCGACUCGAAGGCAGGAGAGGGUAGUGGAAUUCCCGGUGUAGUGGUGAAAUGCGUAGAUAUCGGGAGGAACACCAGUGGCGAAGGCGACUACCUGGCCUGUUUCUUGACGCUGAGGCGCGAAAGCUAGGGGAGCGAACAGG